CCGCAAGGUUAAAACUCAAAGAAAUUGACGGGGGCCCGCACAAGCGGUGGAGCAUGUGGUUUAAUUCGAUGCAACGCGAAAAACCUUACCUACCCUUGACAUCCUCGGAACUUGUCAGAGAUGAUUUGGUGCCUUCGGGAACCGAGUGACAGGUGCUGCAUGGCUGUCGUCAGCUCGUGUCGUGAGAUGUUGGGUUAAGUCCCGUAACGAGCGCAACCCUCGUCCUUAGUUGCCAGCGAGUCAAGUCGGGAACUCUAAGGAGACUGCCGGUGAUAAACCGGAGGAAGGUGGGGAUGAUGUCAAGUCAUCAUGGCCCUUACGGGUAGGGCUACACACGUGCUACAAUGGGCAGUACAAAGGGUUGCCAAGCCGCGAGGUGGAGCUAAUCCCAGAAAACUGCUCGUAGUCCGGAUUGGAGUCUGCAACUCGACU
rnacentral:rRNA from 1 species